AUAAUUAUAGUUAAUAAUUUAUCUAUACAAUAAAAGCCACUAUAUUAAAAGCCAACAAAGAAGUAAAUUCCUAAUUUUUCCCAUUUAUGUGAUAAGGUUUGAAAUCCAUCCCUUUCAUCAUUUUUUUAAAAUAGAAAUCCCCUUAGUUGCCUCAUUAUUUUAAACAGUUUCCUCAUUAAUUCAUAAGUAAUUACAAAUUAAACAUCUUUUGUAACCUCCAGACCCAAACACAAAAUUAUAUUAACUCUUAUUAGUUACACCUUGCCCGCUUCACAGAACAGUUAGGAUCCCAUUCUCCAUUUUUGUUAAAAGUUUUCAGCUUUCUGAAAUUGUGGUUCAAUGUUAUCGGCUCUUUCUUUUGUUCUUUUCCUACUUUCUUUAUUUUAGGUAUAUUUGUAUUUUUUGAUAUGUAUUUGGGGACCUUUUCCAAUGUAAAUUUUAUAUGUAUUUGAGACCUUUUCCAACUAUAAAUACUUAACAUGAGAAUUCUAAUUAUCACUCUUUCCUGUUUUUUUUACCUAUCUUAAUUGAAAAUGUUGUGCUUUAAUUUUUGUUUGAGGUUUUUCUUGUUUGAAUUACUGAAAAGUGAAAAUCAAAGAUUGAUCGGUGUGUAAAUUUGCUGGAUUUGGAUUAUUUUUGUUUGAAUUUGAAGAUAUUGGUAAAUUAUAUACCAACACUCUGUACAAACAUUGGGCCAAUGAUUAUUCGCAAGAUAGAUGGAGUUGCUCUUCAAGUUUCGAUCACCCAUUUCUAUGAAUUCUCGGUGUUGCAAAGGUUAUAGCAUGACCCUCCUUAGAAGCUCUCGAAAUGUAUGUAAAACUUGAUGAUGGAUGCUAAUGAAUUAUGUUUUUGUGCUAAUAGCUUUCAAUAUAUAAUACAGAGAGGAGGAUGGAGGAGAUGAAGGUAGCAAAUUCUACCACCUCACAUUUUUUUUUUUUUUUUGUUUAAGUUACCGCCAAAUAUCUUUCAAAGGACAAUGAAAGAGCAACAAUGGAAUUGGGUUUCAAUUCUGUAUAAUUUUGAGUUGAGAAACGAAGAGCUUGAUAGUUUGAUGUGC